rnacentral:rRNA from 1 species
UCGGGAAUUUUGGGCAAUGGGCGAAGGCCUGACCCAGCAACGCCGCGUGAGGGAUGAAGUAUUUCGGUAUGUAAACCUCGAAAGAAUGGGAAGAAUAAAUGACGGUACCAUUUAUAAGCUCCGGCUAACUACGUGCCAGCAGCCGCGGUAAUACGUAGGGAGCAAGCGUUGUUCGGAUUUACUGGGCGUAAAGGGCGCGUAGGCGGCGCGGUAAGUCACUUGUGAAAUCUCUGAGCUUAACUCAGAACGGCCAAGUGAUACUGCUGUGCUAGAGUGCGGAAGAGGCGACCGGAAUUCUUGGUGUAGUGGUGAAAUGCGUAGAUAUCAAGAGGAACACCUGAGGCGAAGGCGGGUUGCUGGGCCGACACUGACGCUGAUGCGCGAAAGCCAGGGGAGCAAACG